rfam:Myotis davidii contig80170, whole genome shotgun sequence.
CAUGCACUAGUGGGGUCCCUAGGCCUGGCCUGCGAGGGGUCCCAGAUUGCAAGAGGGCACAGGCCAGGCCGAGGGACCCCACCAGUGCACA